GAUGAACGCUGGCGGCGUGCUUAACACAUGCAAGUCGAACGGGAAAUACUUUAUUGAAACUUCGGUGGAUUUAAUUUAUUUCUAGUGGCGGACGGGUGAGUAACGCGUGGGUAACCUGCCUUAUACUGGGGGAUAACAGCCAGAAAUGACUGCUAAUACCGCAUAAGCGCACAGAACCGCAUGGUUCGGUGUGAAAAACUCCGGUGGUAUAAGAUGGACCCGCGUUGGAUUAGCUAGUUGGCAGGGCAGCGGCCUACCAAGGCGACGAUCCAUAGCCGGCCUGAGAGGGUGAACGGCCACAUUGGGACUGAGACACGGCCCAGACUCCUACGGGAGGCAGCAGUGGGGAAUAUUGCACAAUGGGGGAAACCCUGAUGCAGCGACGCCGCGUGAAGGAAGAAGUAUCUCGGUAUGUAAACUUCUAUCAGCAGGGAAG
rnacentral:rRNA from 1 species